GAAUGGACGCGGAAUGGGAACUGAAGAGUUUAAGUCACCACUAGGAAAUCCAAGUCUAGUGUUUUCCGGAGUGAUGAAAUGAGAGAAUCUCAGCGGCCGCUUUAGGAGGUCUCAGCUUCGCUCGGCGCCAUUACAGCCUCCUGCAUACGAACUGUUGGCGCUCCGGUUUGAGCCUGCGUACCGACGUCGUGAGGGAGGUCGACGGCCGCGCUGUUUCCGCCGCUGCUGCGUCGUAGUGGAUCUGUUUGAGUGACUGCUGGUUGUUCCCUUCGCGCUGUGAUGGCCCAAGGAGAUGGUCCUCCGAUGCGGAGGCCGGGGGUAGGAGUGGCAGCUUUUGUGACCAGCUCAGGCUGGCCUGGCUGCGUACUGCUCGGUAAAAGGAAAAGCUCGUUCGGUGCAGGCACUUACCAACUCCCCGGGGGCCACCUGGAGUUCGGAGAAAGUUGGGAAGAUUGUGCCAAACGGGAAGUUCUUGAAGAGACUGGGCUUCACUUAAAGAAUGUGUUCUUUGCCACGGUUGUAAAUGGUAUCAAGUUGGAAGAAGAUUAUCACUACAUCACAAUUUUCAUUCAGGGAGAAGUAAACAUGGAUUAUGACUCAGAACCAAAGAAUUUGGAACCACAGAAGAAUGAAGGAUGGGAAUGGAUCAGAUGGGAAGACUUCCCACCAGAAGACCGGCUAUUCUGUCCUUUGGCUUGUGCAAGACCCAUUUAUCAUCCAUUUCAAGAAAGACUUUAAUAUUUUGCUAGAAGUUCACAAUAUGGCAAUGAAGGUGCAUUUCCUCCUGGAUUCUACCUUGCUCCAAUGCCACUUUUACUAUUUCUUGGAAUUCUCCAUCCUUCUGAAUCAACAGAUUCAAGAUCUGGAAAGGGGCCGUGGACAAUUUCUGAUUUGAUGGAGAUAGACGUAAAAGCACAGAGGAACAUCUGGAGAAAUUUCUGAAACGCCCAUCCGCUGCUGUCGUUACUGUGUGGUCGGGAAUCUUUCGGAGGGUAGGACUCAAAAUCCCCGGCCUUGCCUACUUUUGGCGACCGAGAAAGAGGUCGAAUCGCUCGGACAGAGAUGGCGCUCAGUACUCGAUGUCGGACAGCUGAUCAGAGCUCGAAGUUUUCGGAUGACUCAGAGUUGGAUUGUGUCGGCAUGGCAGGGAGAGUUUUUCUUCCCUCUCCCGUCCGCGUGAGAUGUGGGAUAUUUGAGAAACUUUGAACCUUACUGUGCUCACGGACUUCUUCAUCAAGUUAUGGUGUUGUGCACUGUUGUAACUAUAUGUUAUAAUUAUGUGGUUUUGUCAGUUUUUUCAGUCUUGGUUUGUCCAGUGUUUUUGUGAUAUCACACCGGAAGAAAUAAUGUAUCAUUUCUCAUUGCAUGCAUUACUAAAUGACAAUAAAAGGGGACUACGUGUCUUCAUAAUCGAAACCAUAUUUGUAUCUAAG